UACAGAGGUCUCAAGCGUUGUUCGGAUUCAUUGGGCGUAAAGGGUGCGUAGGUGGCGCUGUAAGUCGGGUGUGAAAUUUCGGAGCUUAACUCCGAAACUGCAUUCGAUACUGCGGUGCUUGAGGACUGGAGAGGAGACUGGAAUUUACGGUGUAGCGGUGAAAUGCGUAGAUAUCGUAAGGAAGACCAGUGGCGAAGGCGGGUCUCGUGGACAGUUCCUGACGCUGAGGCACGAAGGCCAGGGGAGCAAACGGG
rnacentral:rRNA from 1 species